UGGUUAUUUUGCCAGAACCUGGAUCAUACUUGGAAAGGUAUUUUGCAAAAAGAAAGGCAACACUUGGUGGCAUAACUUGAGGGGUGUGGUCCACAAACAUUAUUUUAAAGGGGUUACUCAUGUGGAAGAAUAAUGACAUUCAAAGUUGUCAUAUGGAAUUAAAUUGAGAACACAUACCGUUUAAUCUAGAUAAAAUGUUUAAAGAAUAGUAGGCUGAGUUGAUUUUAAAAUUGUUUCCUAUUCAUCUUUUUAGUUUUCCAUUGUAAAAGAAUCCUGCAAAAAUCCUAAACCUCUUACUGAAACUUUCUGUGCAUUGACUGAACCAGUUUUCCAUUGUAAAAGAAUCCUGCAAAAAUCCUAAACCUCUUACUGAAACUUUCUGUGCAUUGACUGAACCAGGGGCGGCAAUCUCUGGAAAGUACGCGGGCAGCCAAUGGCCUAGGAACAGCCCUGAUGACGAUAUAUGAAACGGAACGUCUAACAGUGCUUGGAUAGCCGCCUUAUGUCUUUGCUGUGGGGACGCAUAGGAUCUAUCUAAGAAAAUCCUUCUUUGAUUCGGUAUCGUAUGAUGAAGAACAAGUCAGUCCUACUAAAAAGAUGGACUUUUGCAUCGUAUCGAACAUACACUGACGACAUAUCAGAAACCCUCCGACCAACAUUAAGUGGAUUAAACUCAGUUUAAUCCACUCAAUGCUGAUCUACGUAGCAGUAGUUACUGCCCACUACCUUUUAAUGUCCAGCAUUUUAUUAUUGUCGAAUUUAUUAAAAAACAUUUAUGAAAAUAUGUGGUAAAAUUUCAGAGGGAUCCAAUGAUGUCACUAGUUUUCUGUUAUUUCCGUUUUGAAAUUUAAAUAAAUGGACAUUUCUAAUA